GAUGAACGCUGGCGGCGUGCUUAACACAUGCAAGUCGAACGGUGAAGCAGGAGCUUGCUCUUGUGGAUCAGUGGCGAACGGGUGAGUAACACGUGAGCAACCUGCCCCUGACUCUGGGAUAAGCGCUGGAAACGGCGUCUAAUACUGGAUAUGUGAUGUGACCGCAUGGUCUGCAUCUGGAAAGAAUUUCGGUUGGGGAUGGGCUCGCGGCCUAUCAGCUUGUUGGUGAGGUAAUGGCUCACCAAGGCGUCGACGGGUAGCCGGCCUGAGAGGGGAACCGGCCACACUGGGACUGAGACACGGCCCAGACUCCUACGGGAGGCAGCAGUGGGGAAUAUUGCACAAUGGGCGGGAGCCUGAUGCAGCAACGCCGCGUGAGGGAUGACGGCCUUCGGGUUGUAAACCUCUUUUAGCAGGGAAGAAGCGAAAGUGACGGUACCUGCAGAAAAAGCACCGGCUAACUACGUGCCAGCCGCCGCGGUAA
rnacentral:rRNA from 1 species